GACGAACGCUGGCGGCGUGCUUAACACAUGCAAGUCGAACGGAGCGAAUGAAAGCUUGCUUUUAUAAGCUUAGUGGCAAACGGGUGAGUAACACGUAGGCAACCUGCCGACAGGAUGGGGACAACAUUCCGAAAGGAAUGCUAAUACCGAAUGAAGCGGAGGAGAGGCAUCUCUCCCGCGUGAAAGAUGGCCUCUAUAUAUAAGCUAUCACCUGUCGAUGGGCCUGCGUCUGAUUAGCUGGUUGGUGAGGUAACGGCUCACCAAGGCGACGAUCAGUAGCCGGUCUGAGAGGAUGAACGGCCACAUUGGGACUGAGACACGGCCCAGACUCCUACGGGAGGCAGCAGUGGGGAAUCUUCCGCAAUGGGCACAAGCCUGACGGAGCAACGCCGCGUGAGUGAAGAAGGUCUUCGGAUCGUAAAGCUCUGUUGAUGGGGACGAACGUGCCUAAUGCGAAUAGUAUUAGGUAAUGACG
rnacentral:rRNA from 1 species